UACGUAGGGUGCGAGCGUUAAUCGGAAUUACUGGGCGUAAAGGGUGCGCAGGCGGUCUCGUAAGCUGGGUGUGAAAGCCCCGGGCUUAACCUGGGAAUGGCAUUCAGGACUGCGAGGCUUUGAGUGUGGCAGAGGGAGGUGGAAUUCCACGUGUAGCAGUGAAAUGCGUAGAGAUGUGGAGGAACACCGAUGGCGAAGGCGGUUCUCUGGGCCUGACCUGACGCUGAGGAGCGAAAGCGUGGGGAGCGAACAGG
rnacentral:rRNA from 1 species